rnacentral:rRNA from 1 species
GACGAACGCUGGCGGCGUGCUUAACACAUGCAAGUCGAGCGAUGAAGCACCUUCGGGUGUGAAUUAGCGGCGAACGGGUGAGGAACACGUGAAGAAUCUGCCUUCAACUCUGGGAUAACUCCGGGAAACCGGGGCUAAUACCGGAUAUGAGCCUUGAUCGCAUGAUCGGGGCUGGAAAGUUUUUCGGUUGAAGAUGACUUCGCGGCCUAUCAGCUUGUUGGUGAGGUAAUGGCGCACCAAGGCGACGACGGGUAGCCGGCCUGAGAGGGCGAGCGGCCACACUGGGACUGCGACACGGCCCAGACUCCUACGGGAGGCAGCAGUGGGGAAUAUUGGGCAAGGGAGGAAACUCUGACCCAGCGACGCCGCGUGAGGGAUGUAGGCCUUCGGGUUGUAAACCUCUUUCAGUAGGGAAGAAGCGAAAGUGACGGUACCUACAGAAGAAGCACCGGCUAACUAUGUGCCAGCCGCCGCCGUAA